UAUGAGAGAGACCCAAGGUUUAUUUAAAUAAAAUAGCCCUAAAUAGACCCAAGGUCUAGUUAUACAAAAUAGUCCUAAACUUUAUUGUAUAUCCCUCUUUAAGGUGGUCCACUGUAUCAAAGCUACAGAGAUACAGUAGAAAAAAACCAUUUUCUGGACCAGAAGGCAUGGAGAAAAUCGAGGAAGGAAGACCAUUAGCUCUAGUUCAGAAUGCACUAGAAAGGGAAGGGAACCACUUAACAAAUGGGAUGAAUUCUGGAACCUCAACCCUGGAGGAAACAGAGAUACAGCAGAGCAAAGCAACAAGAUGAUUAAUGAAAGGGGUAAACUAAACUCAAAGGCUUCACUUCUAAUAAUGUAGAAAUAAAGGGACCAGACCCUCACUCAGUCCCCUGCUUUAGCAGCCAUGACAGGCUACAGAAAAGACAGGGCUGAGUGUAAUAAUAUUUGUCAUUGGGAGUUGUUUGAUUGCUUUGUUUAUUUAUCAGGAUAAUAGUAGUAGGUUUUCUCCUGGGGCACGUGACCUAACUAUUCCUAGGUUCUUUUUCAUGUUAGCAUGUCAAGCAUGGUUUCCAUCUUGGGCAGUGGACUUUAAAUCCAAUAAAAAAUGUGUUUGGCCACUCCCUUAACAUUUUGUCACUAUUGUGCCAGUCGGUAUAUCUUGCAGGCAGGUCACUCUUGUAGGUCCAGUGGUUCAGAGUUUACUGAUAAUUACUUGUCUCCUCUGGUAGUGUGCCUGAUACCUUCUAGCACAUGUAGAAAUAAAGUGAAGCUGGGCUAUCAGCUCCAUUUCUCUGUGUUUGAUCACAUGACUAGGUGGUGUCUUCAGCAAUAGGGUCUUCCCAUCUGAAUUUGGAAGGUGACGUCGACAAUUAAUAAAUGAGACCUCGUGGAGCUUAAAAGCUUCUGUAUAGAAAGUGAUACUAUCAUUUGAGAAAAGCAGCAGCCUACAGAAUGGGGGAAAAGCCUGCCAAUUACAUAUCCGGCAGAGGAUUAGUACCUAGAAUGUACAAAGAACUAAAAAAAAAGCCCAAUUUAAAAAUGAGGUAUAGAACUAAACAGAAUUCUCAAAAGAUGAAAAGUGUUGAGAAACAGUUUUAAAAUGUUCAUCAUUCUUAGCCAUCAGAGAAAUGAAAAUUAAAACUAAUUUGAUAUUUCAUCUUCCCCCAGACAGAAAGACAGCUUAUGCAAGUGAGGAUUAGCGGUAAGGGGGGGGCACAUAAUCAUUUCUGAUGGGAGUGUAAAUUAUACAGACACUAUGGAAAUCAGUGUGGAGGUGCUUCGAAAAGCGGAGAUUUUAUUGACCACAAGACAUAGAUUUGCCACUCUUUGGCGUAUACUCAAAAGACUCUGCAUCCUACCACCAAGACACUUGUUCAUCCAUGUUCAUUGUGUCUCUUUUAUAAUAACCUGAAAAUGCAGCACUCGGGAGGCAGAGGCAGGCGAUCUCUUGAGUUUGAGUCCAGCCUGGUCUACAGAGAGAGUUCCAGGACAGCCUCCAAAACAAUACAGAGAAACCCUGUCUCGAAAAACCAAACAGCAAAACAAAACAAAACAAAAACAAGCAAACAAAACAAAACAAAAACCUGAAAAUGCAAACAGCUUAGUGUCUAUCAGCUGAUGAGUAGAUAAUAAAAAUGUGGUAAUUUACACGAUGGAAUAUUAUUCUACUGUUAGGAAAAAUGAAAUUACAAAAUUCUCUGGUAAAUGAAGUUAGAAGCAAUCACCCUGAGUGAGGAAACCCAGAUCCAGAAAGACAAACAUUGCAUGUUUUGUUUUGGUAUGUGGAUGUUAAUUUUUAAGCUUUGGUUAUUGGUACUUUUGUCCAAAUAACAACAGGUUAUAUGAGCUAAGAGACCGGCAGGAAGGAGGGGAAAUGCAAUCUGGUGCUUUAGAGAGGCCCCGGGAAACUAGACUGGGAGGGUCAGAUGGGGAGGAGACAGGAAGGUAGGGGAAGAAGGGAAUGUGGAGUGGGAUAAUUGACACCCAAGAGCUUUUGAAAAGUUGUGUGGAACCUGCUGCUGACGAAAUGUCCUCAAAUGUGAUGAGAGGUCACCAUGUACUCAGGAACGUAGUGCCCAAGUAUACGUCUUAUGCCAGGAAUGGGUAACCUCUUGCUGAGUCAUUGGUCAAAGGUUUCCCAUAGACACCACCGCAAUAAUUGCAGGCUACUGCCAAUGCCGUGAGGAUGGCGUUUUCACCUGAGCAGAGCUCUCUGAACAGAAGUGCUCGGGCUGCUGCAGGUGGCUGCAGCGGGGAGCUUUGUGUCCCUGUGUCCUGGCUCCUCCUGUCCCAUGGCUGCCGGCUGCCGACAGAAACACCCCUUCCGGCUCGGGCUGAUGGGGCUUGAAUUCAGUUCCGUGUCAGGAUGCUGGAAGAAGAGUGUUCAAAAGGAUCAAGGGAGUCAGAGUUACAGAUAAACAGAAGCAAGGAGAAAUCAAACGGAGUCUUGUGAUUUACGCUUCUGACUCUAUAAGAAGGUUGCAUGGACCUAAAUUCUACUAGAGAAAGAGGGCUGCUUAGAGAUCUCAGCCCCACUCCCAUCAACAGAUAUGUAGACGUGUCAGAACGUGGGAUUCAGACUGUAAAUGCAGAGACCGGAUUGUGGAGAACUGUCCCAGGCUGGCCGGCGUCUCGGAGAGGUCAACCCAAAGCUCUUCUCGUGCUCUGACCUCCUUCCGUCUAGUCCCACUUAAUUGUUGCCAGUGCUGAAAACAUUCUGCCUUAGAUAAAAGUAGUGUGUUUUCUAGAUGCGGUGCGCUUGGUUCAAGUCUGUGAUAAUCUUUAGUGUACUGUAACAUCUUCAACUGUAGCGUAAAGAAAGAAGAAGCAUUCAUCAUCUAAAAUCCUUCAAGCCUUCCCUCUGUGCCGCUGAGGAUGAGGGAGGCUGAGGUUACUGCCCACCUCUGCCUACAGCCCAACCCUCGCAGUCUAGGCAGAAGCAGCGCCUGGGAGGAGAAAGCUCGGCUCAACUUCAGUUUCUUUGAAUCCACGUCCCAAGCACUGACAGUGAGAUUUUUGGACUUUGAUUCUGCUGACCUCUGAAAUGUUUGGAUUAAUUUGCAUGCAGAUUUAAUUUUUAACUUUAAUUUCCUUCUGGGAAAAUCCAUGUAAGAAGGUAGUUAAUAUUCAAAUCCGGGACUUGGUAUGUUGCUGGCAUUUUUAAGAUUAGCAUAUUUUUAUGUUGUUAUUUUCAUCUCAGUGCACAGUGUGAUAGGGAAACAGAACGGCCAAGGGAUCUCCAGCUUGGUAGACAGGCUUUCAAGUAAUUUAUAUAAUUUUCUGAUCCAUUUUGGCAUCUUCUUUCUAAUAAAUGCCAGCCAGCAGGAACCCGGAGGAAUCAGGCCUGACUCUGGGGUGUAGCUGUUUGAAGGUGGGACUAGGAUUGUUUGAGUAGACUUUUAAUCAAGUCCCUCAUAGAUGGCAGCCAUACCACCAGUUAACGGUUAACCCUAAUGGAGUAAAGGGACAGAUCUCCACCGUGAUCCGCAGGGAACCUAGUUUUCUUUUUGUCACCAUUUCCCUUUUUCAGAAGGUGUCAGUCUGGCGGCAGAGCAGGCAGUACCGGGGAAUGCCACCAUGCUGCUCCUUCUCGCGGUCAGCGGUCAGGCUCUACCCCAUGCUGCUCCUGCCCCUGUUCCGGCUCUACCCCCUCACUGUGUGCCGAGAGUGUGCCUUUGCCCUAGUCCUAUGUUGUGAAGUAGCGAAGGAGUUGCUGUCUGUCUAGCUCCGCCCAUACAGGGAUGCCCAGCCCACCGUGGUCCGUGCAGCUGGGUCUGAAUGGAAGCCAGAAUUGCCGGAUUCACUAGUAUGCUGCCUUCUCACCCGUGGGCAGAAGAACGAGGCAUGGACUGCAGCUCCGUUUUCAGGUUUCCUCAGAAUAUAUGGGUUUCUAGAAACACAAGCCAACACUGGAUGUAAAUAGUGAAAGGAGCAUGAAGAUUUAGGGCAAUCACUUCACAUAAUGUAGGGCCUGGAGAGAUGGCUCAGCAGUUAGGACGCACUUGCUGAGGACAGGCCUCGAGUUCAGUUCCUGACACCUACAGCUCCAGGACACCUGAUGUCUCUGCGCGCAUUGCACUCACAGAGUAUCUUUUAGAGGAUCACACGCUGAACUUUUAAUGUCUUCCCCUCCUCCUUUUCUUCUACUUCUGACAUGACCUGAACAUAACUGUAAACUCUGGACCUGACGUCUUACUUCAUGCCCAACAGGUUUUCCACGUUCGAAAUUCACCUCACCGUUCUCUGCUGCCUUCCACCCCGGAACAAUCCCCGAAGAUGCAGAUGCUUAGCUUUUCUUACGGAGUGUCUUGUUUUCCUGUUGAUGUGCCUCGCAUUUAUCUAUGUUUCCUUUGUCUUCUCUCCAAUGAAAGGCAUUUCAAGGCAGGUCUAAUUUGUCUUUGUGGGCUGCCUUCAUAUUUGUCUGCCGACAUAGUGAGUUGGUCAAAAAGUGAAAUUGUAAAGCCAAUUACAUAA